rfam:Oryza glaberrima chromosome 4 Oglab04_0319_6, whole genome shotgun sequence.
UUUAAGUGCAACUAUGAGUUUUCACGCCCAACUUUAAUUGUCUGUCUUAUUUGAAAAUUUUUUAUAAUUAGUAUUUUUAUUGUUAUGGGAUGAUAAAGCAUGAAUAAUACUUUACUCGUGACUUAUGUUUUUAUUUUUUAAAAAAAAUUAAAUAAGAUAGACGAUCAAAGUUAGACACGUAAAGUCAUAGCUGCACUUAAG